rnacentral:rRNA from 1 species
CACCUACGGGUGGCAGCAGUGGGGAAUAUUGCACAAUGGGCGGAAGCCUGAUGCAGCGACGCCGCGUGAGGGAUGACGGCCUUCGGGUUGUAAACCUCUUUCAGUACCGACGAAGCGUGAGUGACGGUAGGUACAGAAGAAGCACCGGCCAACUACGUGCCAGCAGCCGCGGUAAUACGUAGGGUGCGAGCGUUGUCCGGACUUACUGGGCGUAAAGAGCUCGUAGGCGGUUUGUCGCGUCGUCUGUGAAAUCCCACGACUCAAUCGUGGGCGUGCAGGCGAUACGGGCAUAACUUGAGUACUGUAGGGGAGACUGGAAUUCCUGGUGUAGCGGUGGAAUGCGCAGAUAUCAGGAGGAACACCGGUGGCGAAGGCGGGUCUCUGGGCAGUAACUGACGCUGAGGAGCGAAAGCGUGGGUAGCGAACAGGAUUAGAUACCCUGGUAGUCCACGCCGUAAACGGUGGGUACUAGGUGUGGGUUUCCUUCCACGGGAUCCGUGCCGUAGCUAACGCAUUAAGUACCCCGC